rnacentral:rRNA from 1 species
AGCAGCUCCAGAGUUUGAUCAUGGCUCAGGACGAACGCUGGCGGCGUGCCUAAUACAUGCAAGUCGAGCGGACAGAUGGGAGCUUGCUCCCUGAUGUUAGCGGCGGACGGGUGAGUAACACGUGGGUAACCUGCCUGUAAGACUGGGAUAAGUGGCGGGAAACCGGGGCUAAUACCGGAUGGUUGUUUGAACCGCAUGGUUCAAACAUAAAAGGUGGCUUCGGCUACCACUUACAGAUGGACCCGCGGCGCAUUAGCUAGUUGGUGAGUAACGGCUCACCAAGGCAACGAUGCGUAGCCGACCUGAGAGGGUGAUCGCCACACUGA